CCUACGUGAGGCAGCAGUGAGGAAUAUUGGUCAAUGGGCGCAAGCCUGAACCAGCCAAGUCGCGUGAGGGAAGACGGCCCUACGGGUUGUAAACCUCUUUUGCCGGGGAGCAAGCCUGAGCACGUGUGCCCAGGCGGAGAGUACCCGGAGAAAAAGCAUCGGCUAACUCCGUGCCAGCAGCCGCGGUAAUACGGAGGAUGCGAGCGUUAUCCGGAUUUAUUGGGUUGAAAGGGUGCGCAGGCGGGCUGUUAAGCCGGCGGUAAAAAUUCAGGGCUCAACCCUGUCGAGCCGUCGGAACUGGCAGUCUUGAGUGGGCGAGAAGUAUGCGGAAUGCGUGGUGUAGCGGUGAAAUGCAUAGAUAUCACGCAGAACGCCGAUUGCGAAGGCAGCAUGCCGGCUCCACACUGACGCUGAGGCACGAAAGCGUGGGUAUCGAACAGGAUUAGAUACCCUGGUAGUC
rnacentral:rRNA from 1 species